rnacentral:rRNA from 1 species
AACAGGAUUAGAUACCCGGGUAGUCCACGCCGUAAACGAUGGAUACUAGCUGUUGGAGGUAUCGACCCCUUCAGUAGCGAAGCUAACGCGUUAAGUAUCCCGCCUGUGGAGUACGGUCGCAAGACUAAAACAUAAAGGAAUUGACGGGGAGCCGCACAAGCGGUGGAGCAUGUUCUUUAAUUCGACGAUAAGCGAAGAACCUUACCAACACUUGACAUCCUUGGAAUUUUACCGAGAGGUGAGAGUGCUUUAUUGAGCCAAGUGACAGGUGCUGCAUGGCCGUCGUCAGCUCGUGUCGUGAGAUGUUUGGUUAAGUCCAUUAACGAGCGCAACCCUUAUGAAUAGUUGAAUUUUUCUAUUCAGACUGCCCCGGUAACGGGGAGGAAGGAGGGGAUGAGGUCAGGUCAUUAUUGCCCUUACGUGUUGGGCUAGAAACGUGCUACAAUGGCCGGUACAAUGCGCAGCGAAGCCGCGAGGUGGAGCAAAUCGCAUCAAAGCCGGUCUCAGUUCGGAUAGCAGGCUGAAACUCGCCUGCUUGAAGUUGGAAUCGCUAGUAAUCGCGAGUCAGCAUAUUGCGGUGAAUACGUUCCCGGCUCUUGUACACACCGCCCGUCAAGCCAUGAAAGUCACCAACACCCGAAGUCCGUUUCGGCGGCCUAAGGUGGGGGGGAUG